GUGUGGACGGGAUAAGUGCUGAAAGCAUCUAAGCAUGAAGCCCCCCUCAAGAUGAGAUUUCCCAUAGCGCAAGCUAGUAAGAUCCCUGAAAGAUGAUCAGGUUGAUAGGUCAGAGGUGGAAGCACGGCGACGUGUGUAGCUGACUGAUACUAAUCGAUCGAGGACUUAACCAAA
rnacentral:rRNA from 1 species